AUUGGACAGCAUUGUGAUGUAGGUGAUUCUAUUAGAUGUUUAUUGGACAGCAUUGUGAUGUAGGGGAUUCUAUUAGAUGUUUAUUGAACAACAUUGUGAUGUAGGUGAUUCUAUUAGAUGUUUAUUGAACCACAUUGUGAUGUAGGUGAUUCUAUUAGAUGUUUAUUGAACCACAUUGUGAUGUAGGUGAUUCUAUUAGAUGUUUAUUGAACCACAUUGUGAUGUAGGUGAUUCUAUUAGAUGUUUAUUGGACAGCAUUGUGAUGUAGGGGAUUCUAUUAGAUGUUUAUUGAACCACAUUGUGAUGUAGGUGAUUCUAUUAGAUGUUUAUUGGACAGCAUUGUGAUGUAUGUGAUUCUAUUAGAUGUUUAUUGAACCACAUUGUGAUGUAGGUGAUUCUAUUAGAUGUUUAUUGAACCACAUUGUGAUGUAGGUGAUUCUAUUAGAUGUUUAUUGAACCACAUUGUGAUGUAUGUGAUUCUAUUAGAUGUUUAUUGAACCACAUUGUGAUGUAGGUGAUUCUAUUAGAUGUUUAUUGGACAGCAUUGUGAUGUAGGGGAUUCUAUUAGAUGUUUAUUGAACCACAUUGUGAUGUAGGGGAUUCUAUUAGAUGUUUAUUGGACAGCAUUGUGAUGUAGGGGAUUCUAUUAGAUGUUUAUUGAACAGCAUUGUGAUGUAUGUGAUUCUAUUAGAUGUUUAUUGAACAGCAUUGUGAUGUAGGUGAU